GUGAGUCAUCGAAUCUUUGAACGCACAUUGCGCCCUCUGGUAUUCCGGAGGGCAUGCCUGUUCGAGCGUCAUUAUCACCCCUCAAGCCCGGCUUGCUGUUGGCAGCCCGGCGCAGGGCUCACCCCCGCGCCCUGCCCAAAGAUAAUGACGGCGUCCGCGACGACUCCUGUACACUGAGCUUUCGGGCACGUACGAGACUAGUCCCGGCGCCGGUCGACGUCCUCUCGGGGACACUUUUUACCAAGGUUGACCUCGGAUCAGGUAGGGAUACCCGCUGAACUUAAGCAUAUCAAUAAGCGG
rnacentral:misc_RNA from 1 species